GCCGGCUUAGCUCAGUUGGUAGAGCGGCUGAUUUGUAAUCAGUAGGUCGCGGGUUCGAUUCCUGCAGCCGGCACCA
rnacentral:tRNA from 1 species